GUGGGGAAUCUUCCGCAAUGGACGAAAGUCUGACGGAGCAACGCCGCGUGAGUGAUGAAGGCCUUCGGGUCGUAAAGCUCUGUCAUCGGGGACGAACGGCCUCAGCAGGUAAUGGCUGGGGAUUGACGGUACCCGAGAAGGAAGCCACGGCUAACUACGUGCCAGCAGCCGCGGUAAUACGUAGGUGGCAAGCGUUGUCCGGAAUUAUUGGGCGUAAAGCGCGCGCAGGUGGGAUCUUAAGUCCAUUUUGAAAGUUCGGAGCUCAACUCCGUGAUGGGAUGGAAACUGGGAUUCUUGAGUACCGGAGAGGAAAGCGGAAUUCCCCGUGUAGCGGUGAAAUGCGUAGAUAUGGGGAGGAACACCAGUGGCGAAGGCGGCUUUCUGGACGGUGUCUGACACUGAGGCGCGAAAGCCAGGGGAGCGAACGGGAUUAGAAACCCCUGUAGUCC
rnacentral:rRNA from 1 species